UACGUAGGGUGCAAGCGUUAAUCGGAAUUACUGGGCGUAAAGCGUGCGCAGGCGGUUUUGUAAGUCUGUUGUGAAAUCCCCGGGCUCAACCUGGGAAUGGCAAUGGAGACUGCAAGGCUAGAGUUUGGCAGAGGGGGGUAGAAUUCCACGUGUAGCAGUGAAAUGCGUAGAUAUGUGGAGGAACACCGAUGGCGAAGGCAGCCCCCUGUGUCAAAACUGACGCUCAUGCACGAAAGCGUGGGGAGCAAACAGG
rnacentral:rRNA from 1 species